AUGAUUAUAUCAGACACACUUGGUUAUUUCCCUUACGAUCAAAAUCAUAUGUUAUGCAGACCUUCAUUAAUUUCAAAAAUUUAAUGGAGAACCAAUUUGAUAAGAAAAUCAAGUGUCUUCAAUCAAAUAUGCGGGGAGAAUACCUAGGUCUUACAAGCUUUCUGCAAAAACAUAGUACAAAAGUACAAUACUCUUGCCCACAUACCUCAGCUCAAAAUGGAAGAGCUGAAAGGAAACAUAGGCACCUAGUUGAAACAGGACUUACCUUGUUAGCUCAAUUGAAAGUUCCUUUAAAAUACUGGUCUAAAGCCUUCUCAACAACAACCUUUUUGAUUAACACAUUACCAACACCAAUUCUAGAAGAUAAAUGUCCAAUUGAAAAACUAUUUCACAAAAAACCAAAUUACAAGUCUCUCAAAAAUUUUUGGUUGUGCCUGUUACCCUUGUCUUAAACCCUAUCAAUCUCAAAAGUUUCAGUUUCACUAUGUGAAGUGGGUUUUCUUAGGUUAUAGCAAUUCUCACAAAGGAUACAAGUGUCUUAUCUCUUAUGGAAGGUUAUAUAUUUAUAGACAUCUUGUCUUUAAUGAAAAAGACUUUUCGUUUUAUUACAAUUUUCCAAAUACCAAGGCACCUGAAAUUCAAACAAUGGUUACUGCACCUAAUUGGUUCAACACUACUCCUCAAGUCUCAAAUAAAACACAAAUCACAGGUUCAACUGAUACACACCUUCCAGGUACUUCCCAUGUAGCAGAACCAACCCAUGGUGCUGAGUCUGAAACAUUGCAAUAUGAGAAUCGUGAGAGGAGGUUAGCAAUUGAAGGGGGAUUUGAUCCUCAAUAUUCAGACUUUGGAGAAGAACUGAAUUAUGCAGAUGGUCAGUUACAACAGCAUGAGCCUGAAUCACAACAAGAGCUGCAGCAAGAAGGACAACAUGGUCAUAAUAUGACAACUAGAUCCAAAGCUGGAAUAUAAAAGCCUAAACAAUUUUCUGACUUUCAAGUAUAUCUAGCAAACUGCUCACUACCAACAGAACCAACUACAGUUAGUGAAGCACUAAAAUCAAGUUAUUGAAAAAGCGUCAUGGAGGAAGAACUGGAAGCCUUGAAGAGGAAUAACACUUGGUGCUUGGUUCCCUAUACAUCAUCAAUGAACGUAGUUGGUUGCAAGUGGAUGUUUAGAGUCAAAAGGAAUGUGGAUGGUAGCUUUCAGAGGUGUAAAGCAAGGCUAAUGGCAAAGGGUUUUCAUCGGAAUGCAGGAAUUGACUAUGGAGAGACUUUCAGUCCUAUUGUUAAAGCUUCAACAAUUAGAAUUAUUCUCACUAUUGCUGUCACUAAAAACUGGGUUAUUAAGCAGCUUGACAUAAAUAAUGCCUUUUAAAUGGAGAUCUACAAGAAUCUGUUUAUAUGCAGCAACCAGAAGGCUUUGAAGACAUAACCAAACCAAGUUAUGUUUGUAAACUCAACGAAGCAUUGUAUGGCUUAAAACAAGCACCCGGAGCCUGGUUUGAAAAGCUAAGGAAGACACUGCUUGACUGGGGUUUCAGAAACUCUAAGUGUGACUCCUCUCUUUUCAUCAUGAAGAGCAAUGGUAAAAUCAUGUUUGUGCUUAUAUAUAUUGAUGACUUGAUAUUGACAGGUAAUGAUACAAACCUGUUAAAAGGAUUUGUGCAAGAAUUGGACAAGAAAUUUAACUUGAAAGAUCUGGGUUCACUGUAUCUAUUUCUUGGUAUUGAGGCAACCAGAGAUGAAACAGGAAUCUUUCUGACACAAACCCAAUACAUAGAAGAUCUGCUUAGAAAAACAAGCAUGGAGAACUCAAAAUCAUGUUCAACACCAACGGCUCUCAAUGUUGCUCAAGCAACUCGAGAACGUGAACCUUUCAAAAGUCCUACAACCUACAGAAGAAUUAUAGGUGCACUGCAAUACAUAACGCAUACCAGACCUGACCUUGCCUACAUUAUAAACAAGCUGAUCCAGUUCCUAAAGCAACCAAUAAUAAAGCAUAUGCAAGCAGUAAAGAGGAUACUGAGAUAUCUAGAAGGCACAAAGAAUUUUGGCCUACAUAUUCAACCAUGUAGUAGUUAUACACUCACUGGUUAUUCUGAUGCAGAUUGGGCAUGUAAUAGAGAUGACAGAAAAUUAACUGCUCACUAUUGUGUUUAUUUUACUUAAAAAAGCAUAGUGUUAUUCAAGAUCAAGCACGGAAUCUGAGUACAGGGCAUUGGCACAUAUGCCAUGUGAGAUUGUUUGGUUAGAGUCUCUACUCAAAGAGUUGUUCAUUCCCCUUUCAGAAGUCCCUAUAACUUGGUGUGAUAACUUGAGUGCAAGUCAAUUGGCAAAUAAUUCAGUCUUUCAUGCGAGGAUCAAACGCAUAGAAGUAGACAUUCAUUUAAUCUGAGAUAAGGUCCUUGAUAGAAAAAUUGAGGUGAGAUAUGUACCAUCACAAGAUCAAAUAACAAAUUGUCUUACCAAAGCUCAAGGAGGAAUACAAUUCUACAACUCAAGAAACAAACUUGGAGUAGUUGAGAGAACUCUACGACUACCAAGUUUGAAGGGGGAUGUCAAGGAACAUGUAACAAACAGCCAACAGGAACACCAUUAGCAGUGCAUCUACAAUUUGUACUGCACAGCCUGCAACCUGUACUGCACAAUAAGAAUUUGUUGUAACAAACUUCGUCCUUCCUGGAAAGCUGUAAAUCACUCAUUUGACCACUUGUACAGUUUUGAUUCACUACAAAAUUCUAUAAAUUGAAUUCCUCUCAUCUUAGCACAUUAAGCUAAGAAUUGUCUAGCAUAUUUCUUUCAUUUUUCUUUCUCCCUGCAUUUCAACCACCUCCCGUCAAUAUCUUCUUCAACUUUCCCCUUAGUCUUCUCUCUCCAUCCCCUACAUCAUCACUCACCGCUCGACGUUACAUUAUCUACCAGUUGUUUCCCAAACUCAAUCGCAACAUUGAACUGUGCGAAUUUACGGUGCCAAGAAUCUUGUUUUUGGCAUGUCGUAUGGUUGACCAUGGAUGCACGAGGUUCCGCCUUUCGGUUGACGCAGAAGUGGUGUGGUUUGAUAUAAUCCGCGACACCGCUAAGAGACAUAUGAUUGAGGAGCUUCGUGAAAAGGUUUACGGGUUAUUGGAUAGCUUGGAAGAUGAAGAUGAAGAUGAAGAUGAAGAUGAAACGGGGAACAGUGCGAUCUGUCUGUAAGAGAUGAAGUUGGGAGGGAAGAAGGUAACUGAGAUGGCUUGCAGACAGUGUUUCCAUGAAGGAUGUGUAAUGCAGUGGUUGAAAAACAAGAACACUUGUCCUCAUUGUAGACGAGUUGUGGAUGUUGCAUCUGAGUAGUUAAUUUUUCUAAAUUUAUAAAUUGAUAAUUGUUUCUUUUUCUUUUAGGUGAUUUAAACCCUUAAUUUCUUAGGAGGCUUUUUAAGUGUGUCCAGAUUAUUUAUUCAUGAAAAAUUUGUUCUUUUGUAAAAUAUAUAUAUAUAUAUAUAU
rnacentral:lncRNA from 1 species